CCUACGGGGGGCAGCAGUGGGGAAUAUUGGACAAUGGGCGAAAGCCUGAUCCAGCCAUGCCGCGUGUGUGAAGAAGGCCUUCGGGUUGUAAAGCACUUUCAGUGGGGAAGAAAGCCUUGGGGCUAAUACCCUCGAGGAAGGACAUCACCCACAGAAGAAGCACCGGCUAACUCCGUGCCAGCAGCCGCGGUAAUACGGAGGGUGCGAGCGUUAAUCGGAAUUACUGGGCGUAAAGCGCGCGUAGGCGGUCUGAUAAGCCGGUUGUGAAAGCCCCGGGCUCAACCUGGGAACGGCAUCCGGAACUGUCAGGCUAGAGUGCAGGAGAGGAAGGUAGAAUUCCCGGUGUAGCGGUGAAAUGCGUAGAGAUCGGGAGGAAUACCAGUGGCGAAGGCCGCCUUCUGGACUGACACUGACGCUGAGGUGCGAAAGCGUGGGUAGCAAACAGGAUUAGAUACCCCAGUAGUC
rnacentral:rRNA from 1 species